rnacentral:rRNA from 1 species
GAUGAACGCUAGCUACAGGCUUAACACAUGCAAGUCGAGGGACCGGCGCACGGGUGAGUAACACGUAUCCAACCUUCCCUUUACUCGGGGAUAGCCUUUCGCAAGAAAGAUUAAUACCCUAUAUAAAGGAUGGGGAUGCGUUCCAUUAGGUUGUUGGUGAGGUAACGGCUCACCAAGCCUUCGAUGGAUAGGUGUUCUGAGAGGAAGGACCCGCAAAUUGGAACUGAGACACGGUGCAAACUGCGAGGGGAAGCAGCAGUGAGGAAAAUUUGUCAAUGAGCGCUAUCCUGAACUGCCAAGUAGGUGGAAGAAUGAAGGCUUAUGGAUCGUAAAAUUCUUGUGUAUAAGAAAAUGGAUUAUAUGAAUAAGGAUCGGCUAACUCCGUGCCAGCAGAAGCGGUAAUAC